UACAGAGGGUGCGAGCGUUGUUCGGAAUUAUUGGGCGUAAAGGGCGCGUAGGCGGCGCGGUAUGUCACCUGUGAAAUCUCUUGGCUCAACUGGGAGCUUGCAGGCGAAACUGCCGUGCUGGAGUGUGGGAGAGGUGCGUGGAAUUCCUGGUGUAGCGGUGAAAUGCGUAGAUAUCAGGAGGAACACCUGUGGCGAAAGCGGCGCACUGGACCACAACUGACGCUGAGGCGCGAAAGCUAGGGGAGCAAACAGG
rnacentral:rRNA from 1 species